UACGGGAGGCAGCAGUGGGGAAUAUUGCACAAUGGGCGCAAGCCUGAUGCAGCCAUGCCGCGUGUAUGAAGAAGGCCUUCGGGUUGUAAAGUACUUUCAGUCGUGAGGAAGGUGUUAAGGUUAAUAACCUUAGCAAUUGACGUUAGCGACAGAAGAAGCACCGGCUAACUCCGUGCCAGCAGCCGCGGUAAUACGGAGGGUGCGAGCGUUAAUCGGAAUUACUGGGCGUAAAGGGCACGCAGGCGGUUAAUUAAGUUGGAUGUGAAAUCCCCGGGCUUAACCUGGGAAUGGCAUUCAAGACUGGUUAGCUAGAGUCUUGUAGAGGGGGUAGAAUUCCAUGUGUAGCGGUGAAAUGCGUAGAGAUGUGGAGGAAUACCGGUGGCGAAGGCGGCCCCUGGGACAAAGACUGACGCUCAUGUGCGAAAGCGUGGGGAGCAAACGAGGAUUAGAUACCCGU
rnacentral:rRNA from 1 species